AGAAUGAGAGCUUCGGCAGGAUUUCUUUCCAUCUUAGUGGCGGACGGGUGAGUAACGUGUGGGCAACCUGCCCUGUACUGUGGAAUAAUCAUUGGAAACGAUGACUAAUACCGCAUGUGGUCCUCGGAAGGCAUCUUCUGAGGAAGAAAGGAUUUAUUCGGUACAGGAUGGGCCCGCAUCUGAUUAGCUAGUUGGUGAGAUAACAGCCCACCAAGGCGACGAUCAGUAGCCGACCUGAGAGGGUGAUCGGCCACAUUGGGACUGAGACACGGCCCAAACUCCUACGGGAGGCAGCAGUGGGGAAUAUUGCACAAUGGGCGAAAGCCUGGUGCAGCAACGCCGCGUGAAGGAUGAAGGGUUUCGGCUCGUAAACUUCUAUCAAUAGGGAAGAAACAAAUGACGGUACCUAAAUAAGAAGCCCCGGCUAACUACGUGCCAGCAGCCGCGGUAAUACGUAGGGGGCAAGCGUUAUCCGGAAUUACUGGGUGUAAAGGGAGCGUAGGCGGCAUGGUAAGCCAGAUGUGAAAGCCUUGGGCUUAACCCGAGGAUUGCAUUUGGAACUAUCAAGCUAGAGUACAGGAGAGGAAAGCGGAAUUCCUAGUGUAGCGG
rnacentral:rRNA from 1 species